rnacentral:rRNA from 1 species
AGCAGCCGCGGUAAUUCCAGCUCCAAUAGCGUAUAUUAAAGUUGUUGCAGUUAAAAAGCUCGUAGUUGAAUUUCGGGGUUCUACCGUUGGUCGGGCUAUUGUCUGUACUGGCGUGUAGAAUUUCUACCUUCUGGGGAACUAUCAUGUUAUUAAUUUAGCGUGGUAGGAAACCAGAACCUUUACCUUGAAAAAAUUAGAGUGUUCAAAGCAGGCUUAUGUCUGAAUACAUUAGCAUGGAAUAAUAAAAUAGGACGGUGGUCCUGUUUUGUUGGUUUCUGAAUCACCGUAAUGAUUAAUAGGGAUAGUUGGGGGCAUUAGUAUUCAAUUGUCAGAGGUGAAAUUCUUGGAUUUAUUGAAGACUAACUACUGCGAAAGCAUUUGCCAGGAUGUUUCAUUAAUCAAGAACGAAGUUAGGGAUCGAAGACGAUCAGAUACCGUCGUAGUCUUAACCAUAAACUAUGCCGACUAGGGAUCGGACGAUGUUAACUUUUNUUGUACUCGUCGCGCCUUACGGGAAACC